AGAGUUUGAUCAUGGCUCAGAUUGAACGCUGGCGGCAGGCCUAACACAUGCAAGUCGAGCGGAUGACAGGAGCUUGCUCCUGGAUUCAGCGGCGGACGGGUGAGUAAUGCCUAGGAAUCUGCCUGGUAGUGGGGGACAACGUUUCGAAAGGAACGCUAAUACCGCAUACGUCCUACGGGAGAAAGCAGGGGACCUUCGGGCCUUGCGCUAUCAGAUGAGCCUAGGUCGGAUUAGCUUGUUGGUGAGGUAAUGGCUCACCAAGGCGACGAUCCGUAACUGGUCUGAGAGGAUGAUCAGUCCCACUGGAACUGAGACACGGUCCAGACUCCUACGGGAGGCAGC
rnacentral:rRNA from 1 species